rnacentral:rRNA from 1 species
CAGUAGCCGCGGUAAUACGUAGGGUGCGAGCGUUAAUCGGAAUUACUGGGCGUAAAGCGUGCGCAGGCGGUUCGUUAAGACAGAUGUGAAAUCCCCGGGCUUAACCUGGGAACUGCAUUUGUGACUGACGGGCUAGAGUAUGGCAGAGGGGGGUAGAAUUCCACGUGUAGCAGUGAAAUGCGUAGAGAUGUGGAGGAAUACCGAUGGCGAAGGCAGCCCCCUGGGCCAAUACUGACGCUCAUGCACGAAAGCGUGGGGAGCAAACAGGAUUAGAACCCCAGUAGUCCCUGUCUCUUAUACA